GAUGAACGCUGACAGAAUGCUUAACACAUGCAAGUCGAUUCGAUUUACCUUCGGGUAUUGAGGAUGGCGGACGGGUGAGUAACGCGUAAGGAACUUGCCUCUUGGUCUGGGACAACUGUUGGAAACGACAGCUAAUACCGGAUAUUAUGAGAUUCUCGCAUGGGAAACUUAUGAAAGCUAUAUGCGCCAAGAGAGAGCCUUGCGUUCCAUUAGCUAGUUGGUGGGGUAACGGCCCACCAAGGCGACGAUGGAUAGCCGGCCUGAGAGGGUGAACGGCCACAAGGGGACUGAGACACGGCCCUUACUCCUACGGGAGGCAGCAGUGGGGAAUAUUGGACAAUGGGCCACAAGCCUGAUCCAGCAAUUCUGUGUGCACGAUGAAGGUCUUCGGAUUGUAAAGUGCUUUCAGUUGGGAAGAAGAAAGUGACGGUACCAACAGAAGAAGCGACGGCUAAAUACGUGCCAGCAGCCGCGGUAAUACGUAUGUCGCAAGCGUUAUCCGGAUUUAUUGNGCGUAAAGCGCGUCUAGGCGGAAAAAUAAGUCUAAUGUUAAAAUGCGGGGCUCAACUCCGUAUUGCGUUGGAAACUGUUUUUCUAGAGUACUGGAGAGGUGGGCGGAACUACNAGUGUAGAGGUGAAAUUCGUAGAUAUUUGUAGGAAUGCCGAUGGAGAAGUCAGCUCACUGGACAGAUACUGACGCUAAANCGCGAAAGCNUGGGGAGCAAACAGGAUUAGAUACCCUGGUAGUCCACGCCNUAAACGAUGAUCACUAG
rnacentral:rRNA from 1 species